UACGGAGGGUGCGAGCGUUGUCCGGAAUCACUGGGCGUAAAGGGCGCGUAGGCGGUGGGAUAAGCGCAUGGUGAAAGCCCGGGGCUCAACCCCGGGUCGGCCGUGCGAACUGUCCGACUCGAGCACUGUAGAGGCAGGUGGAAUUCUUGGUGUAGCGGUGAAAUGCGUAGAUAUCAAGAGGAACACCUGAGGUGAAGGCGGGUCUCUGGGCAACAACUGACGCUGAGGAGCGAAAGCGUGGGGAGCGAACAGG
rnacentral:rRNA from 1 species